rnacentral:rRNA from 1 species
AUGGCCCGGGUCGCGGCGGAGGACAUCAGGGUGCCGGUCGCAGGGCACGUGGAGGUCGCAAUUGAGCACUUACGGCUGGGUGACCGGGGGAGACGUUUUGCGUGGAGGUUUCUGGACGUUUUGCAAGGAGGAAUUGCUGCCCAUGAACAAGAUGAGUUGGCUACCAUGAUGCCCAGGGAGAAGAUGACUUGGCCGCUCAUGCUCAUGCUCAUGCUCAUGCUCAUGCUCAUGGGCUGGGAUUUAGUACCCAGGAUGGUGAUGAUGCUGUCGCUGUCGCUGUGGAAGGAGAAGAAGCCACUGGAGCAAUGUACUAGUAUCACCUCUUCCUCUUGUGGCUGGAGCAAGGAGAAGAAGCCACUGGAGCAAUCUAGUACCACUUAUGGUGACUUGGGAACAACCAUGGAGAAUGCUGCUGCUCUUGUGCAAGUUCAAGAGCAAGUGGUGGAGCAGCUAGAUGCCACCCAGCCAAGGGAUGAACAUAUUGCUGCUGAGGGACAAGAGACACUGGGAGCUCAUCAGCCGGGAUCAACUGAGAAUGCUGAUGAUGCUGUGCAAGUUCAAGAGGAAGUUGAAAGCGCAGAUGCCACUGCUGUACAUGACCAUGACAAGGCAGUGGAGCAAUGCACCACUGCUGAUGACUUGGGAACAACCAUGGAGAAUGAUGUUGUUAAGGAUGAUCAGGAGGUGCUGGAGCAAGGUGUCAUUGACCAACGGGAUGCAAGUACCCUAGAUGAUGUCAAUGAUGUCAAAGAUCACGAGGUGCUGCUGCUAGGUGCCGUGGAAGUAACACGCGCUACCACAGAUGACAUUGCUGCUGUCGAGGAUCAAGGAAAGAAUGUGGAGCAAUAACAAGAGGUGGUGGAGGAAGGUGUUGUCGAUUUAACCAUGGAUGAUGAUGAUUCUGUCCAAGAUCACAAGCAGCAAGGUAUCAUUGACGGAACCGAUGACAUUGCUGUUGAGAAACAAGAGAAAGUGCUGGAGCAAUGUUCAAGAGCAACUACGGAUGCGUACACUGUCAAAGAAAAGGAGAUGGUGGUGGAGCAAGGUGUCAUUGACCCAAGGUACAUGGAUCUUGCCACGGAAGAUCAGGUUAAGUUGUCGAUCAUAGACGACCAGGGUACAGUGCCCAUGGAUGAGGCAGUGGUGAAAGGCCAUGAUGAGGCAGUGGUGCAAUAUGCCAGCGAUGCAAUAGUAACAAUCGAGGAUGAGGCUCCUGUGGAGGAACAUGAUACGGUGGGGAAUCAAGGUGUCAUCGACGAAAAGGGCAGAACCAAGGAUGUUAUUGAUGUGGAGGGACAUGGCUAUGUGAAUGAACAGGUCAUUGUCAAUAACUGGGGUACAUCCAGUGAUGCUACUGCUUUGGAAGGGCAUAAGAAUGAGGCUGAGCCAUGGAUCGGUGAAGAACAGAUAGCAGGCAAGGACAUGGAUGGUGUUCAUGCUGAGGGGAACAUGUUGGAGCAAAGGACCAGCGAUAAACAGGGAGCAACACAGUCUGAUUUCACUGUUGAUAAGCUCAAGGAUCUUACCAAGGUACCAGAGAUUGGGGUAUAG